GUGAAUCAUCGAAUUUUUGAACGCAAAUUGCACUUUCUGGUAUUCCGGAGAGUAUGCCUGUUUGAGGGUCAGUUUAAAUAAAAAUGGGUUUGGUUGUUGUUUUUCGUGGUGAGGCACCGGAUUUGGGUCGUUUUGCUUUCGGUUAAGUGCUCUAAAAUUUUGCAUGAUUUUUUUCGUAUGUAUUUAUAUGAUUUUACGUUCGUUUGUGAUAUGGAAUAUUAGGUUUGGUCAUCCUCAUGAUUCGCGCCUAUAAUUUUUCAUUAAAUUGACUUAAAAUCAGGUAAGAGAACCCGUGGAAUUU
rnacentral:misc_RNA from 1 species